GAGAGUAGGGAGAAAAGGAACUAUAGAUUUUACAAAAAAAAAUCGUGAUUAAAACAAAGCAGCAACAUGGACCAUCUCCAAGUACUUUUCUGGAUUCACAAUUAGACAUGGCCCAUUGGCUCACUAAGGAAGUACUGAUUCAUAUAUUGCACUUACUGUGUGAAAGUGGGACACUAUCAUUUACUCCACUACCUAUGAGGAAUGGAUGGGCCAUAAACACGAGAGGCAACCUCCUGUGAUUUUAAUAUCCCCCUCAAAUAAUAUGCUAAUACGAUUUGUAUAGCACCUUUCAUGUAAGGUCUCAAAGUGCUUUACCAAUGAAUGGUCCCUCACAACAUCCCGGCAUUGCACAAAGAGGUCAAGCCUUACUUAAAAAGUGGUCCCUAAAAAUGCAGGUUCUGACCUCUCUGUGCUUGUACAACUGUAAGAUUGGUACAUUACCUGACUCACUGGCGUUUGUGAGGUUUAAUAUAUUUGGUAAGCACUCUGAGAUCCUGGAAUGAAAGGCACUGUAAAGGUCUAAGGUAAUAUUAACAUCUCAAGGUCAUGCAGUAAGUCUGUGGCAGAGUGAUGAACAGAAUCAAAAGCAGAGUGGCACAGCAAAAGUGUGCCAAGUCUAUAACUGAGAGGUCAAUGGAUUGAAACGGUCUUCUGCUAGUUCUUAUGGUCUGUGUUAUACAGGAAGUCAGGCUGGAAGAUCACAAUUGUCCCUCUGGCCUUGGAAUCUAUGAAUUCAGGAGACCCAAUUCCCAAUCCCCUGCUACAAUCACUAGACACAACACUGCCUCCCAGAAUUCAAACAUUCAUUCACAAGAGUACUUUGACUCAGCUUCCUCAGACUGGAAGUCUUAAAAUGCUGGCAACUCAUCUCAUUCUGUUGCAUGAAUACUUAAAGGAAAGGAAAGAAAAGGAACGGAACGGAACAGUGUAUCUACAUCCCUGCGCUGCUGAUCGGAGAACUUCAGUAGCAGUGUCCAUUGGGCCCUCACAUGCACAGUCUCCUCGUGCUGCACCAUGAGGAUAGAAAGCCGCGUGGGCUAACCGUGCUCAGCUCCUUCUCUACCACAGAAUCAUAGUGCGAACUCCAAAGUAGGGGAGGAGGGAGAUAUAGUGGAGCAGCCACAGCGACUCACAUCUCGAAGAACCAUCGUUACUGCACAAGUUCUGGACUGAGAAUUCCAUCUAAUUGUUCUUCACUGAGGGGCCGUGAACUUUGAUUGACACUUGGCUGAGGCAGAGAGGAAGGAUCGUCAGAGAUGGGACCAAUAUCUAGUCCAGCUGAAGAGGGCACACUUGGGUUUUCUCUGCAAACUAUGAAGCACCCACAACACCUGAAGAACAGAGGAAACAACUUUGGAUUGGGGGAGAAUCCUGACUGAAAGGAAUUCAGGCAGUAAGACUGCUGUAACAUGUGGUGAGAGAGACCUUUGCUUUGAGUUCACUUAGCUUGUUAAAUUAGGCAUUAGUUGUGUUUUACUUUUAUUUUCUUGUAACCAAUUUUGACUCUGAUGCCUCA